GGGGAAUAUUGGACAAUGGGGGAAACCCUGAUCCAGCGACGCCGCGUGAGUGAAGAAGUGUUUCGGCAUGUAAAGCUCUAUCAGCAGGGAAGAAAAUGACGGUACCUGACUAAGAAGCCCCGGCUAACUACGUGCCAGCAGCCGCGGUAAUACGUAGGGGGCAAGCGUUAUCCGGAUUUACUGGGUGUAAAGGGAGCGUAGACGGUUCUGCAAGUCUGGAGUGAAAGCCCGGGGCUCAACCCCGGGACUGCUUUGGAAACUGUGGAACUAGAGUGCAGGAGAGGUAAGUGGAAUUCCUAGUGUAGCGGUGAAAUGCGUAGAUAUUAGGAGGAACACCAGUGGCGAAGGCGGCUUACUGGACUGUAACUGACGUUGAGGCUCGAAAGCGUGGGGAGCAAAC
rnacentral:rRNA from 1 species